rnacentral:rRNA from 1 species
UACGUAGGGGGCGAGCGUUGUCCGGAUUUAUUGGGCGUAAAGAGCUCGUAGGCGGCUUGGUAAGUCAGGUGUGAAACCUCCAGGCUCAACCUGGAGACGCCACUUGAUACUGCCAUAGCUAGAGUCCGGUAGGGGAGCGUGGAAUUUCUGGUGUAGCGGUGAAAUGCGCAGAUAUCAGAAGGAACACCAGCGGCGAAGGCGGCGCUCUGGGCCGGAACUGACGCUGAGGAGCGAAAGCGUGGGUAGCAAACAGG